ACUAGUGUAGCGUAGUGGUUAGAGCGUUGGACUAUGACACGGGAGACAAGGGUUCAAUUCCCAGUUUGACCA